UGAUAUAAUUUACCUUUCAAAAAAAAAAAAAAAUGAUGAAAAUUAUGGUAGCGUUAAUCUAAAAUACCCAUUUACAGUCUGUUUUUACAUCUCUCAUCCUACAUUUCUCUACUCGUACUCUCUCUCUCUCUACAUCUCUGAUCACACCGUGAUCAUCACAGGCUAUGCAAGGAACAGAGGCGACGCCGAUUAGGCAGAAUCUCAGCAGAAAUGUUGUAUAUCUUAUGAGCAUUUGUUAUGUCCAAGUUCUUUCAACAUCAUUGUGUUUCUGGCUCCAUUAUGUGAUACGACCACUUUAAAAGUGCUGCGUCUCUGUUGGAUUUCAAAGUGCCUGUUUUUAUUGCAUUAUGAGACACUGACACCUCUCCUUGUUGCCGAACUUUGAAAAUCCAUGACGACCUGCUUGUGUGUAUAGACAUGCUAUAUUUCCAUGCUUACCAGAACCUUUUCUGUCUGGAAGUGUAUAUAUUCAUCUGCCACCUCUUUUCUUAAUGCGCUGCAAUUUAACAGGGAACCUUUCAAUCUCAUUUGUCGGGUGUCUCCGAGGUAUUACGCUAUUGAUCAAUCUCCGGACUCCUCUCUAUUUCCAAUUACACAAGCAUAGUUGCAGACAAAUUUCUGCAACCCUCAAACUGCAACAGAGACUUUUUACUGCAACAAUGUUGGUUCCAUGCUUUCCUGUGAAUAGAACACUCUACUGCUCCAAAUGCCUCAAACAGAACAAAUGGAAUCUACGAAUGAAUGCUGUGGGAAAAAUGAGAAAUAUACUGGGAGAAGAGGUCCAGAGUUACAAGGCUCAAAUGAAUUGACCAGAAUACUAUCCUAUUUCAGGCAACCCCUAUAUGGCAAUUGCAGAGGAACAAGGCCUAAAGAUCUUCAAGUAAAUUUGAUUGGAGGACACGAGGAAAGAUUGAGUAUCAGCGGAGAUGGUUAAAGACUUGAUCAAGCGAAUGACAUCAGAGGCAAGUCGAAUCUAGAAUCAAAAUAUUCUCCUGAUUUUCGUUCUUCUCUUGGUGAAUUUCGUCGCUUUCAACGGUGUUGGAUUUCAUCGCUUUCAACGGUGUUGGAUUUGCUUAUUUGAGAAAUUUCAACAUUAUAGUGGUGAAAUUCACAGUUGAAAAGUGAUGAAAUUCACUAGUUGUGGAGAACAUCAGAGUGAUGGAAAGGAUUCGGGACUGCAAAUCAAUGGCUGGAAGUUACAGAGAUCAAAGGUGAGUUGGACCUCUGCUGCACUGGAGCCUAACCAGAUGCUAUGGUUAUAGUAACAUAAUCUUCAUAACACGCUUAACUUAGUGCAGUGAUAACAAAUUUUGGCUCCUUCAUUUUCUCAGUUAUAGUUGUUUUUUGGUUUGCAUAAAUGAUAUGGUGGAACCUAUUUUGAAGUGAAUGAAGGAAAAAUACUUCGGAAAUUUUAAGGUUAAUGACUAAUAUUUGAAAACUUAUUGGGAGCUUUCUUCGUGGACAGAAAAUUCUACAUUUUUCCUCUACUAUUUUUCAGACCGCCUUUUUGGUUGUGCUUUCUAAAUGUAGGAAAUUAGAAUGUUCUCGUGCUUUCUGCCUACAGCAACAUUUAUUGCAUUUUAUCCUCAAGACAGCAAUAUCAUUGCCGUUGGCAUGGAGGACUCUUCUAUCCAAAUAUAUUUCCAAUUAGAAGAGGUUGUCUUCAGUUUAAAUUGAAGCCUAAUGUUUGUGAGUGAGUUUGCUCAUAGAUACGACAAUUAUUCGAUUAACAUUUUGCAUGUUCCAUUACAGAGGUCAAAAGCAUGCUCAAAAGCCACCAGGAAAGAAUAACAGGCCUCGCCUUCUCUAACGUUCUAAAUGUACUUGUAUCUUCAGGAGCUGAUUCUCGGGUAAGAUAUUGGAGGCAAUAUGUAUAUCUAUUUUUUUUAAUAUUUUAUUUAGAAAAUGCAGUAACUCAUAUUUAAGAAUUUAAAAGAAAAGGAAAUACCAAGUGAUGGCCAAUAGUAUGCAGAACUCCACUAUCUCUUACUUAGCUUGCGUUUGGCUCUUUACUUUAAUUUUCUUCUGUCUCCAAAUGGUAGAUGUUGAUGCCACCUUAUCAUAGACUGCUAGUGCAGCCCUGGUUGGGAUGAUUCUUUAAAAUCACUUGUAAUGGUUGGUUUUUUCCAUGUUAGUUUAAUCAGGGAUAUUCCUAGACUUCUGAUAUUUUUAUUGGCAAUUUAUGUUUCUAAAAUAGUGGAUUCCACCAAAACCAAGUGCUGCAUAUUCCUGUGAUAGCCAGUCAAUAUUCGUCGGUUUUGAUGAUGGAAGUGUCGGUAAUCUUACUGCUUGAGCUUCACUUCAAAUGAGAUGCAUAAUUAACUCUACUUCUUAUCUACCUGCCAAUCCAAGGGAGUACUUCCACAAUUUCUUUUAGACGAUUAAAAUAGGAAAGGCUUUUUUGUUUUCUUCUUGCAAGUAUCUGACAGAAUAAUUUGACAGUUCGAGAGUCCAUCCACUUGUCAUUCAAAACCUAAUCAGUUUGCAUUGGGUCCUUCUGAUGGUGGAGUUUGCGUAGUUGAACCACUAGAAUCAGAAGGCAAAUGGGGCACCUCUCCUCCACACGAAGACGGUGCUGGGCCUUCCACCGCAUUUGAAGCCAGCCAGUUUGGAUCUUGCCAUCACCCCCAACUUUUCCAUGGGAGACUAGGACCUGAGGGUGUAGAAUACUCGAAGCGGUCAUACUAGAGUUAGUUCAAUGGUACAAGGAAUGUCAAAUCAAUUUGAAUCCAAGACAUGGCGCUAAAAGUUCUCUCAUUUGUACUAAUAUGUAAAAAAAUCAGUACAGUGUAGAUCUGUAGGAGUCAUUUGUGAGAAGGGAAUGUGUUUUGAAUUCAGUGGAGAGUUCAUGAGGAAGUAAAGAAUGUGCUUGGCUAAUGGCCUUGAUUCUUGUUUCUUCUUCUUUUUUUAUCCCUUCGGGUUACUCCAGAA